rnacentral:rRNA from 1 species
UACGUAGGGUGCGAGCGUUAAUCGGAAUACUGGGCGUAAAGCGUGCGCAGGCGGUUCGUUAAGACAGAUGUGAAAUCCCCGGGCUUAACCUGGGAACUGCAUUUGUGACUGGCGGACUCGAGUAUGGCAGAGGGGGGUAGAAUUCCACGUGUAGCAGUGAAAUGCGUAGAGAUGUGGAGGAAUACCGAUGGCGAAGGCAGCCCCCUGGGCCAAUACUG